UUUGUUCUGCCCUGAGUGUAUUUUGUGUGUUAAUAUCACAGUUUUCCACUGAAAAUUACUGUCUAAUAAUUUGCUUCAACAAAUAGUGAAGCCUUUAUUUUGUGACAUGGGAAACAGGAAGUAGGAAGUUAGAGCAGUGGAACUUUUAUUUGACACCUUUUAUUAAACAGGAAACAGGAAAUAGAAAAGGUCCAAGCUGUGAAUAGAGCAUGGUUGCACCUGUGUGUUUUCCCUUGUGAAUCCAAGGCCAUCCUUCUGGUUAAUCCUUCAGAAAGCAAUGGCUUUUCACUCCGAUUCAUUGCUGCCACUGUGACCCAAUUUGUGAGUGUGUAAAGUGAAUAAAGGAGCAAGUGCGCUCGCUAUCCUGGCUCAUGAAAAGGAGUUUGGCUGGCUGUUUAUCUAUGUCAACACUUUGGAAGUUUAACACAUAGUGCGAACAGUACAGUUUUCUUACAGUGUCUUGGUGUUUAGUUUGCUAUCCAGACAGUCUUGAACUGGCAUAUGUUUGUGACGCCUAAGGAAUAAACCAUUUUGUUGUUUCUUCAAACCAAGACAGAGUGGGACUGGAUAAUUAAACCGCAUGAGAGAC